rnacentral:piRNA from 1 species
UCCAUUCGUGACUUCUAUGUUGCUCAGUGA